UACGGAAGGCAGCAGUGGGGAAUAUUGCACAAUGGGCGAAAGCCUGAUGCAGCUAUGCCGCGUGUAUGAAGAAGGCCUUAGGGUUGUAAAGUACUUUCAUCGGGGAGGAAAAACAAAACUAAUAAUUUUAUUUCUUGACGUUACCCGAAAAAGAAGCACCGGCUAACUCCGUGCCAGCAGCCGCGGUAAUACGGAGGGUGCUAGCGUUAAUCAGAAUUACUGGGCGUAAAGAGCACGUAGGUGGUUUUUUUAAGUCAGAUGUGAAAUCCCUGGGCUUAACCUAGGAACUGCAUUUUGAAACUGAAAUACUAGAGUAUCGUAGAGGGAGGUAGAAUUCUAGGUGUAGCGGUGAAAUGCGUAGAUAUCUGGAGGAAUACCUGUGGCGAAAGCGGCCUCCUAAAUGAAUACUGACACUGAGGUGCGAAAGCGUGGGGAGCAAACAGGGAUUAGAUACC
rnacentral:rRNA from 1 species